UCAGCUGGCUCAGUGGACACACGCCUCCUAUCCAAACCGAAUUUCAAGAUACAUGAGGAUUUCCUGGGCAAACUGUUUUGCUGUGCUGGCUGGUGUGGGUUGUCUGCCUGCUUGUGGGGUAAAAAGGUUGAAUUGUGCAGAAAUGUUGACGAGGAGUGUGCUUGUUGAUAGCCCAUGUCUCUGUAGUCAAGCUACAACAGAUAGAAGGUCAACAUAACACUGAGUCGUUAAGCCAUAGCUAAGCCUCCUGUUGACCACGACUGACACCCCAUAUCUCCACAUUGUGAAAAUGAAGGAGAUAAUAGUACAGCAAACACUGCUUUGACUCCCUGCAUGCAGUGAUAAGGCCAGGAACACAGGUCAAAGCUGCCCACCAGGCCUGACUCAUCUCCUGUGCAGGGAAGUGUUGGGUGCAAGGCAUAUAAAGCAACAAUAAGGCAAAGCCUGUCUGUUCAGGCUCCAUUAUGCACUGAGUUACAGUACAGUGGUACCUUGGGUUACAGACGCUUCAGGUUACAGACUCCGCUAACCCAGAAAUACAGUGGUACCUCGGGUUAAGUACUUAAUUCAUUCUGGAGGUCCGUUCUUAACCUGAAACUGUUCUUAACCUGAAGCACCACUUUAGCUAAUGGGGCCUCCUGCUGCCGCCACGCCGCCGGAGCACGAUUUCUGUUCUUAUCCUGAAGCAAAGUUCUUAACCUGAGGUAAUAUUUCUGGGUUAGCGGAGUCUGUAACCUGAAGUGUAUGUAACCUGAAGCGUAUGUAACCUGAAGCGUAUGUAACCCGAGGUACCACUGUACCUCGGGUUAAGAAAUUUACCUCAGGAUAAGAACAGAAAUUGCGCUGCGGUGGCAGCGGGAGGCCCCAUUAGCUAAAGUGGUACCUCAGGUUAAGAACGACUUCAGGUUAAGAACAGACCUCCAGAAUGAAUUAAGUUCUUAACCCAAGGUACCACUGUACUUCCCAAUUCCUAGAAUCCUCUGUAACAUGAAAGGAUUCCUCACAAUGCUUCUCCGGGCAUGAUGGCCCUUGGUGAGUUGUGAGACCUGCCCACAAUACAGCUUUUCCCAAGACAUUGUGGGAAGUUUAAAUGGCAGCUCUCAGAUCCAACUGAUCAGAGUCCUUCUGUUGCCUGACAAGCCUGAUGAGGAAUGCAAGGUGAUGUACAGAGUUCUCCUCCCCGUUGUAUUCUCACCACAACCCUGUGAGGAAGUAGUGAUGGUCAUCAACUUGGAUGGCUUUAAAAGGCUUAUCUUCCAUCUAUCUGAAUGGGUGCAUGUGGAUGUUGUGUGCAGGGCAUAAAGCUUCAGCCCUGUGCCUUUAAGAGCAGCCAUUUUGCAAAGUGUGGUGAUUAGCAAGUGGUAAGACCUCACUCCACAGCUUCUGCUACCAAGACACAGGAUGCAGGUCAACGCUCUCCAGAAGUCAUCUUCUCCCUUUCUGUCCACUGUUCUACAGUAACUUGGAGCAGGGCUUUCAGAGUAGCUGGCCCCAUUUUGCAAAACAGCAUCCCUGUUGAAAUGCGACAGACACUCGCUAUUUGUCCUUUCUGAGAAUUGCUGAAGGCCUUUUUGUUUGGACACACUUCCCAAGCUGGAUGAAAUGGCCUUGGGUGUUAUUUUUGUAGUGUUUUAAGACCUAUCUUUAGUUGUUGCAUCUGCACUGUUUUAAAAACUAUUUAAUCUGUUUUGAUAAUGUAUUUGUAAAUGGCCUUGAGACACAUGUAAAAGGUCUCUCAUCCUCACCAGUAAUGAAGGAGAAGAAGACAGGCCCGUGUUUCUGCUCUAAAUAUGGGAUACAUUCUGCUUCCACCUGCAUGUGCUUUGCAAGAACUGAUAGCGGGUGUUAGCAUCUGAUUUACCAGCCCCUUUGCUAUGAAUUGGGGGUGGGGAGUUCAGUAAAGAUUUUGAAGAGCUGCCCAGCUAAGAGCACUCCAAGGACCACUAUCUGGGAAAAAUGGGCUUCUUUCUUAUACACACUCUCUUAAAUACCCAGCCUACAUUACUGUCAUAAUCUCUAUGUGGGGCUGCCUUAAAAGACAGUCUGCAAACUUGAGCUGGUGCAAAAUGCAAGCCUGUUUGAUUAUAUCACCCCAGUUUUGCAUCAGUUGCAUUGGUCGCCCAUUCAUUUCUGGGCUUAGUUUAAAGUACUAGUAACUAACCUUUGAAACCCUGAAUGUUUGGGAACCACAUUAUUUGAAUGUUUCUCUACACCCAUAUGAAUCUGCCCAGGUCCUCAGAUUGGUCUUAAGAGUGCCCUGCUAUCUGUUGUGCGCCUCUGAUAAAGCGAUCAGCUUAGCAGUUACCAGGAACAGGGCCUUUUUCAGUGGUGGCCCCCACACUUGUGGAAUUCCAUUCCUUGAGAAUUCUGCUUAGCUCCCUCUCUUUCAGGUUUAAGUGGACCUGAAAGAAUGGUUGAUCCUGCUAAGCACAC